UACAGAGGUCCCAAGCGUUGUUCGGAUUCACUGUGAGUAAAGGGCGCGUAGGUGGCGAGGUAAGUCGGAUGUGAAAUCUCCAAGCUUAACUUGGAAAUGGCAUUGGAAACUGCCCUGCUAGAGGAUCGGAGGGGGGACUGGAAUACUUGGUGUAGCAGUGAAAUGCGUAGAUGUCAAGUGGAACACCAGUGGCGAAGGCGAGUCCCUGGACGAUACCUGACACUGAAGCAUGAAAGCUAGGGGAGCAAACAGG
rnacentral:rRNA from 1 species